GACGAACGCUGGCGGCGUGCCUAAUACAUGCAAGUAGAACGCUGAAGGAGGAGCUUGCUCUUCUGGAUGAGUUGCGAACGAGUGAGUAACGCGUAGGUAACCUGCCUGGUAGCGGGGGAUAACUAUUGGAAACGAUAGCUAAUACCGCAUAAUAGUAGAUGUUGCAUGAUAUUUACUUAAAAGGUGCAAUUGCACCACUACCAGAUGGACCUGCGUUGUAUUAGCUAGUUGGUGGGGUAACGGCUCACCAAGGCGACGAUACAUAGCCGACCUGAGAGGGUGAUCGGCCACACUGGGACUGAGACACGGCCCAGACUCCUACGGGAGGCAGCAGUAGGGAAUCUUCGGCAAUGGACGAAAGUCUGACCGAGCAACGCCGCGUGAGUGAAGAAGGUUUUCGGAUCGUAAAGCUCUGUUGUAAGAGAAGAACGAGUGUGAGAGUGGAAAGUUCACACUGUGACGGUAUCUUACCAGAAAGGGACGGCUAACUACGUG
rnacentral:rRNA from 1 species